rnacentral:rRNA from 1 species
UGGCUACGUAUUCUUUUGCCGCGCUUAUUGCGCGGCGAAAACCUUACACACUAUGUUUUUUUAAUUUGAAACUAUUGCUUUGGUCUGGCUUAGAAAUAGGUUGGGCCAAAGGUUUUAUCAAAACUUCAAUAUUUAUUAUUGAAUUGUUAUUUUUAAUUUUAUGUCAAUUUGUUGAUUAAUAUCAAAAAUCUUCAAAACUUUCAACAACGGAUCUCUUGGUUCUCGCAUCGAUGAAGAACGCAGCGAAAUGCGAUAAGUAAUAUGAAUUGCAGAUUUUCGUGAAUCAUCGAAUCUUUGAACGCACAUUGCGCCCUUUGGUAUUCCAAAGGGCAUGCCUGUUUGAGCGUCAUUUCUCUCUCAAAUCUUCGGAUUUGGUUUUGAGUGAUACUCUUAGUCAGACUAAGCGUUUGCUUGAAAUGUAUUGGCAUGAGUGGUACUAGAUAGUGCUGAACUGUUUUCAAUGUAUUAGGUUUAUCCAACUCAUUGACCAGUAAAGUAUUUGUUUAUUACACAGGCUCGGCCUUACAACAACAAACAAAGUUUGACCUCAAAUCAGGUAGGACUACCCGCUGAACUUAAGCAUAUCAUAGCCCGAGAAGAGAAAG